rnacentral:lncRNA from 1 species
UCUGUCAAUCGCUAAUAACCAAAGGAAAUUAUGCACCCUAGGAGGAACUUUCAAUCUCCAUAUUUUAUCAAAAGCAAAACAGGAAUCGUCUCCCUCCCCUUCAAUCAGUAAUUUAGUUAAUUGUUUCACUGGGAACUCAACUUUAUUAUCAUGCGCCCAUAAUAUCAGAUCCUCCACCUCCGGAACCAAGACCACACAACUCACUCUUUCAAUAAGACCACAUAGCAACCCCACU